GGCCUGAUAGUUCAGUGGUAGAAUUCUUGCUUUGGGCCCCCAAUCUCAAUUGUAAGAGGUCUCCGGUUCGAUCCCGGAUUAGGCCC